rnacentral:rRNA from 1 species
UACGUAGGGGGCAAGCGUUGUCCGGAAUCAUUGGGCGUAAAGAGCUCGUAGGCGGCUUGUCACGUCGGGUGUGAAAGCCCGGGGCUUAACCCCGGGUCUGCAUUCGAUACGGGCUAGCUAGAGUGUGGUAGGGGAGAUCGGAAUUCCUGGUGUAGCGGUGAAAUGCGCAGAUAUCAGGAGGAACACCGGUGGCGAAGGCGGAUCUCUGGGCCAUUACUGACGCUGAGGAGCGAAAGCGUGGGGAGCGAACAGG